UAGCUUGAUAGCCGUCCUCUCUCGAUUUCGUCAGGGACAUUUGCCUGUUCCGAAUGACGUUGCGACCUCGACCACUAUUUCGUGAUUAGGUACUUCGCGCGCGAUAAGGGUUGAAGUGUGGUUUUCUGUUAAGCGAAAUGUGGCUUCGAGGAAGCAAACGACAUGCGGCAUUGCCUCGUUAGCUCGAUAGCUUUGUUAGUGCUGCUGAACUUCUUCGGGCUGCAGGUCAGCGCUUCCUGCUGCAGCCAAUGUGAGUGGCCGUCAACCUUGUUGCACUUCAUGUGCGUGUGCGGGCAGUAUGUUUGCCCAUUACUGUGGUGCGCACCUCGCACACUUGGUUGAACGCGCCGCUCGCUUUGGUCGAGUUCUUGGAACACGGCCCGCGCACGCGUGCGAACCUCGUCACGGUGAGUAUACCAGUUAUUCCUACGUUCGUAUUUCUAAAGAGAAUUUGUUGAACGUUUCAGAUCCCCUGUACCUGUGGGCUGCAAUACAUCGACGUGUGACCACGGCAGUCAUCCGAGCACCAGCACGUGAAUCCAUCGUUGCGGCGAGUAUCAUCCCAACAUUGCAAAUGAGAUGACAGGGGUAUUCCAGACUGGCGAGGUUGCAGUUUUGGUGUCUAAUCAGAGCCCCCACUUUUGGUGGCCGGCUGUUGCAGCCAUAUCGGGUCUUCUCCUUGACGAAAUCGAAGAGGACGGGGUACGGGGGUGGGGGGCGCGCCGCAUACAGCUUCAGCCUUAGCGAACACGAUAGGCAGGAUAUGACAGGUGUCCUCUUCCGAUUUCGCCGGGGAUAUUGAACCCGUUCCGAAUGUCUUUUGUGAAGCGACCACUAUUUCGUGUCGAGUAGCCCGCGCGCGAUUGUGCGCUCGAGCGGAAUGUGGUUUCGCGGAAGCAAACUGCAUUCGGAACUGCCUCGCCAGCUUUUGAUUAACCGUACUGUAGAACGUGCUGUUCACCUUACAGCGCGGUUUCAUUCCAGUUAUUGCUGCUUUUCCUGGCCGCUGUGUUUCUCAUGAUCCCGCUUAUUCACGGUGCUAUGCUUACCAUGCAGCUUUGAGGUUUACUUUCAGCCUUUUCUGCAAGUCCCGCCGACCUUCCAGGAGGAGUCCACGGAGCACCGCACAUUAUUUUGGACAUGGUGUGUAAGCGCGUAUUUUACAUGUCCAUUUUUUUUUAAGAAGCGGCUUUUGCACCUAUUCGUAUACACCAGGGCCGGCGGAUGUCCCGUUCCUGAACGAGCUAUGCAUCGAAGGUUGUCCAGCCCGAGUCUACGGUGGAGAUGGCGUUGAACACCACCCGUCCUGUCGCAGUGUCGGCAGCACUUCCACAUUCAACCGCCGAUACUCCUGUCAGCAGGAGGGACUUCAGUAAGCGCCGUAUGCUUUUCCGCGUCUGUCUUCCACUGCUAUCCGUGAGAAGGGGAUGAAGCUGGCUCUUGCAGAUUGGUUCCAAUGUAUACGUUCUUGAGGUCUCCUGAGCAACACAAGUCACAUGACCAAACUUACUGCCACCUUCGCACUGCUUCGCUGAUGGCGUCAUCGAGGGAGGCUGCACAUUGCUGCUACUCGUGGAAUUCUGUUGCCUCACCGCGCCUGUUUUCCUUUGAUACCCGUGACAAGGAGAUUGAGCUGGCACCUGCAGAUUGGUUCCAAUGUAUACAUUCUUGAGGUCUCCUGAGCAACACAAGUCACAUGACCAAACUUACUGCCACCUUCGCACUGCUUCGCUGAUGGCGUCAUCGAGGGAGGCUGCACAUUGCUGCUACUCGUGGAAUUCUGUUGCCUCACCGCGCCCGUCUUCCUUUGCUACCCGUGACAAGGAGGUGGAGCGGGCUCCUGCAGAUUGGGUCCAAUGUAUACGUUCUUGAGGUCUCCUGGGCAACGCACAUCACAUGACCGAACUUACUGCCACCUUCGCACUGCUUCGCUGAUGGCGUCAUCGAGGGAGACUGCACAUUGUUUCUACUCGUGGAAUUCUGUUGCCUCACCGCGCCCGUCUUCCUUUGCUACCCGUGACAAGGAGGUGGAGCGGGCUCCUGCAGAUUGGGUCCAAUGUAUAUGUUCCUGAGGUCUACUGGGCCACACACAUCACAUGACCGAGCUUACUGCCACCUUCGCACUGCUUCGCUGAUGGCGUCAUCGAGGGAGACUGCACAUUGCUGUACUCGUGGAAUUGCUGUUGAUUCCCAGAGUCCAUCGCUACCCGUGAGAAAGACAUGAAGUUGGGUCCAGCAGAGUGAUUCUAAUGCCAACGUUCCCGAGUUCUCGGGGCACUACUCGUCGUAUUGCCGAACUUAUUGCCACCUUUGCACUGCUUCACUGACGGCUACAUCCAGGGAGACGGGACGUGGCCACUAACUUUGC